UACGUAGGUGGCAAGCGUUGUCCGGAAUUAUUGGGCGUAAAGCGCGCGCAGGCGGUUCUUUAAGUCUGAUGUGAAAGCCCACGGCUCAACCGUGGAGGGUCAUUGGAAACUGGGGAACUUGAGUACAGAAGAGGGAAGCGGAAUUCCACGUGUAGCGGUGAAAUGCGUAGAGAUGUGGAGGAACACCAGUGGCGAAGGCGGCUUUCUGGUCUGUAACUGACGCUGAGGCGCGAAAGCGUGGGGAGCAAACAGG
rnacentral:rRNA from 1 species